rnacentral:rRNA from 1 species
CCUACGGGAGGCAGCAGUAGGGAAUCUUGGGCAAUGGGCGCAAGCCUGACCGAGCAACGCCGCGUGCAUGAAGAAGGCCUUAGGGUUGUAAAAUUCUGUUAUAGGGGAAGAAAGCUGAUAGGAGGAAAUGACUAUCAAUGGACGGUACCUUAUGAGAAAGCCACGGCUAACUACGUGCCAGCAGCCGCGGUAAUACGUAGGUGGCAAGCGUUAUCCGGAUUUAUUGGGGGUAAAGAGCGCGCAGGUGGUUACUUAAGUCUGAUGUGAAAGCCCGCGGCUUAACCGUGGAGGGUCAUUGGAAACUGGUUGACUUGAGUGCAGCAGAGGGAAGUGGAAUUCGAGGUGUAGCGGUGAAAUGCUUAGAGAUAUGGAGGAACACCAGUGGCGAAGGCAGCUUCCUGUACUGCAACUGACACUGAGGCGCGAAAGCGUGGGGAGCAAACAGGAUUAGAUACCCGAGUAGUC